CAAUACAGAAAGAUACCCUUUCCCAGAGGAGAAGCCUGAGGUUCAGAGAGUGAUUAGGUCUUGAAUCCCAAAGUAGUGGUAGUGAGCUUAAACCCAGAUACACUAGUUUCUUACUAACCCCCCAUAUACCUGUCCAUGCCCUUGAACAGGUGAAGAAAGCCAAAGGGAGUCAGUGAGUGAUAUUGAAGAGAAGCCAAUGAGUAAAUAGGCCACUUGAUGCAAACAAAAGUCUUCUCCAGACCCCAGUUUUUAGAACACAUAAACAAAUCCUACCCUAAGGCCAGACAGACUUGCCCACCCCCUUCACACCAUCCAGGGUAGGCCUGAAGUCCAGGCUGUGGCAGUCAGCAAGCCUAGCAACAGAAUUCCCCAAGAGUGCUAUCAGCCUUGAACUGAGCAUUGUGAUCCAUGAGUCAACCAUGGCAACUGGAACCCCAUUCCCUGUGGGACCAUUUUAGGCCCCUCUGAAUUUAGAAGGCAGGGUGCAGAUGAGAAAUGAAGAGUAUGUGGACACCACAGCAUCCUGGUCCAGCAAACUAAGUUGGCAGCUGCAUCUACAAUGUGCUAGAGCAUCUCAGAGAUCCUCAAGAAACAGGAGGGAAGCCUGUGGACCCACGGAAGGUGAGAAACACUGCAUGGAGAUUCUUGCACAGUCAGGAUCUGCAAAGAACUCUGCCUCAUGGGGAAGGGACAAGAAAAGUCCUACCCACUGGAGUGGCAGGUGCUCCAGUUCUUUCCUGGAUGUCAGAUCUAAAUCCGGCCUCUCUUUACACUGCUGGAGAUGCUUUCUGAGAAACUUUUUCUCCAUCUGAGCACAGUUGAAGCUCAUCUGUCACUCAUCUGCUACUUAACAGAGUCAGAGAGGCCAGGAUAGAAGGCCAGGAAAUGCCUGCCUGAGAAAUGUCCAGGAUGUGUGCAGGAAAUGAGUGCAGAAAAAAUCCAGCACACCUUGCAUCCUCUCUGUGACCACCUGAAUUCUGUUUCUCUGAAUGUACCUGACAUUUGAAGAUUAUUAGUUCUCUGGGGACACUAAAGACACUAUGUUGGCAUUUUAUAGAUGCUGACACAGUGGCUAUCCUCCUCACCUGACUCCAUUAGGCUGUGAGAAUUAGGAGGCAGAGUGGCAAGCUGACAACAAUGUCUCCAUGCCAUCCAACCAUGAGAUGUCCUCAGGUGAAUGAAUAAAAAGGGCAUGCCCAGAAAAUCCUGGAACUACUGAACGCAUCUAUCACUGGAGAAGGGAGAAGUCCCCUCACCUCAUGGCAGGAACUCAUACAGCUUUUUUAUUAUAAAAAAGAGACAGGAGUGCUUCUUUCCCAUUGGUUGAUAUGAAGAAAGGAAGUGACCCCAUGAUUUCUCAUAACAAUGUUGAUACAGCAGCAAACAUUGUCAGUGUCUGCACCAAACAAAUGGGGCUACAAUUUCUACUAAUCAUAACUUCUGCCAUUUGAAGAAGGGGAAACUGAGGCAUCACAGUUUUUUUUUAUAAUGAGAAUGGGAAGCGUAAGCUUUUAUUCAACAAAUUUGUAAUUUUGACAAAGAUUUUGGCAAAGGAGAAUGGAGAAAGUGAGAGGUUUAUAAGUUUUACAUAGUGACACAGGUGCUCCAUGACAGGAAUGAGUUGGUGCUAGACAUUACAUGUGCAACCACCAAGAAAGUAACAACCCUGUGACUGGGGACUUAUUUUUCUGCAAUGAGACUUCUUUUUGGUUAGAGCCCAUUCCCUUUGUUUUAACAACUUCACACGGGUUGGAUAAAAAAAUAAUAAAACAAAACAAAAAGUCUUUUUUGAACCAAAACUUUUGAUUCUAAUAUUAAGAGAAAUAAAUGUAGAAGGUGUCCGAUAUCUCUGUUUCAUUUCUUCUUUUAUGUACCAAACCAUCUAGCUGUUUUGUACAAUGUGCCACGGACACAAAGUGAAGGUUCAGCUCUUUGAGGAGGCACCUGAAAGGAGCAUUUCUGGGUUUCUUGCAGGAGGUUUUAUAAAUCAAUGAGUUCCAAAUCUGAGUAAUAAAAUCUACAAAAUACAAAGGAAAAUUAAGAACAGAAGACAGUAAAGAACACUCCUGGAAACUAAGCAAAAUAUUGGAUGAAGAUUGAUAUCAGUGAAAGUUAUUUACAAAGUCUUUAACAAAAACAAAACAUGACACUGACAAGUCAUUUGUAUCUAACUUUAAUUGCCUUCAGUAUUCAGAGAAGAAAAAGCACUGUUAUAAUCCCUAGACUUAUCAUCACAAAGAUGGUAGGGAGUGGUGAAGAAGACUCUUCCAUGGUCCCUCUCAAAUUGGAACUGGCUCUGCUUGUACACUUCCUUGACUUCUCUUAAGCUCCAGUCAUCCAAGUAAUAUAGAGCACUUGGGUUAGGAGUUCUGUCUCCUCU